UCAAGCGAAGAAGGGCGCAGGGCGGAUGCCUUGGCACUGAGAGCCGAUGAAAGACGUGAUAAGCUGCGAUAAGCUUCGGGGAGGAGCAAAUAUCCUUUGAUCCGGAGAUCUCUGAAUGGGGAAACCCGGCUGUAUGGACUACAGUCAUCCAUAAGUGAAUCCAUAGCUUAUGGAAGGGAACCCGGGGAACUGAAACAUCUAAGUACCCGGAGGAAGAGAAAGAAACAUUCGAUUCCGUAAGUAGCGGCGAGCGAACGCGGAAGAGCCCAAACCGUGAUGCGUGCAUCGCGGGGUUCGGACUGCAUAAGGGAUUCAGUAACGGCAGGAGAACGGCUUUGGAACAGCCGGCCAGAGAGGGUGAGAGCCCCGUAUCCGAAGCCAGAGCUGACCCGGCAGGAUCCAGAGUACCACGGGACACGGGAAACCCUGUGGGAACGAGCGGAGACCACUCCGUAAGGCUAAAUACUACUCAGUGACCGAUAGCGUAUAGUACUGUGAAGGAAAGGUGAAAAGAACCCCGGGAGGGGAGUGAAAGAGAACCUGAAACCCUGUGUCUACAAGCUGUGGAAGUACUUCUCAGGUACGACCGCGUACUUUUUGUAGAACGGUCCGGCGAGCUGCGGGUACUGGCAAGGUUAAGCACUUCAGGUGCGGAGCCGUAGGGAAACCAAGUCUUAAGAGGGCGUUUUAGUCAGUACGUGCAGGCCCGAAACCGGGUGACCUAUCCAUGUCCAGGUUGAAGCCGCCGUAAAAGGCGAUGGAGGACCGAACCCACAUCCGUUGAAAAGGGUGGGGAUGAGGUGUGGAUAGCGGAGAAAUUCCAAUCGAACCCGGAGAUAGCUGGUUCUCCUCGAAAUAGCUUUAGGGCUAGCCUCAUACAAGUCUGCCGGAGGUAGAGCACUGAAUUUCCGCGGGGGCGUCAAAGCCUACCAAAGAAUAUCAAACUCCGAAUGCCGGACAGAUGGUGUAUGGGAGUCAGACUGUACGAGAUAAGUUGGACAGUCAAAAGGGAAAGAGCCCAGACCGCCGGCUAAGGUCCCAAAGUGGGUGUUAAGUGGAAAAGGAUGUGGGAUCUCUAAGACAACCAGGAUGUUGGCUCAGAAGCAGCCAUUCAUUAAAAGAGUGCGUAACAGCUCACUGGUCGAGAGGUCCUGCGCCGAAAAUGUCCGGGGCUGAAACACCACACCGAAGCCGCGGAACCCGUAAGGGUUGGUAGAGGAGCAUUCUUAGGGGAGCGAAGCAUUACCGGAAGGGGAUGUGGACUGCUAAGAAGAGAGAAUGCCGGAAUGAGUAGCGAGAGCAAGGUGGGAAUCCUUGCGGCCGAAUAUCCAAGGUUUCCAGAGUAAAGCUGAUCUGCUCUGGGUAAGUCGGGGCCUAAGGAGAGGCAGAGAUGCGUAUCCGAUGGACAGCAGGUUUAAGAUUCCUGCACCCCUUGUUAUCAGAACUGCGGGGACACGGGAAGGGAAGCAGAGCCGGGAAUGGAAAGCCCGGUGCAAGCGAAGUAGUCGCAGGGUUGGAAAAUCCGCCCUGCAUGAGACGAAGGCGUGAUGCGGAGCGAAAUGAAGUAGUGAAGCUGCGGCCCCUUCCUGUCGAGAAAAGCCGCUAUCGUGUAGCAAGGGCCCGUACCGUAAACCGACACAGGUGGAUGAGGAGAGGAUCCUAAGGCCGGCGGGAGAAGUGUUGUUAAGGAACUCGGCAAAAUGACUCCGUAACUUCGGGAGAAGGAGUGCUGCGCAAGCAGCCGCAGAGAAAUGGCCCAAGCAACUGUUUAGCAAAAACACAGGUCUAUGCGAAACCGAAAGGUGAGGUAUAUGGGCUGACGCCUGCCCGGUGCUGGAAGGUUAAGGGGAGAGGUUAGCGCAAGCGAAGCUUUGAACUUAAGCCCCAGUAAACGGCGGCCGUAACUAUAACGGUCCUAAGGUAGCGAAAUUCCUUGUCGGGUAAGUUCC
rnacentral:rRNA from 1 species